GACGAACGCUGGCGGCGUGCCUAAUACAUGCAAGUAGAACGCACAGUUUAUACCGUAGCUUGCUACACCAUAAACUGUGAGUUGCGAACGGGUGAGUAACGCGUAGGUAACCUGCCUGGUAGCGGGGGAUAACUAUUGGAAACGAUAGCUAAUACCGCAUAAUAUUAAUUAUUGCAUGAUAAUUGAUUGAAAGAUGCAAUUGCAUCACUACCAGAUGGACCUGCGUUGUAUUAGCUAGUAGGUGAGGUAACGGCUCACCUAGGCGACGAUACAUAGCCGACCUGGGAGGGUGAUCGGCCACACUGGGACUGAGACACGGCCCAGACUCCUACGGGAGGCAGCAGUAGGGAAUCUUCGGCAAUGGACGAAAGUCUGACCGAGCAACGCCGCGUGAGUGAAGAAGGUUUUCGGAUCGUAAAGCUCUGUUGUAAGAGAAGAACGGGUGUGAGAGUGGAAAGUUCACACUGUGACGGUAUCUUACCAGAAAGGGACGGCUAACUACGUGC
rnacentral:rRNA from 1 species